CGGACGGGUGAGUAAUGCUUGGGAAUCUGGCUUAUGGAGGGGGAUAACUACGGGAAACUGUAGCUAAUACCGCGUAAUAUCUUCGGAUUAAAGGGUGGGACUUUCGGGCCACCUGCCAUAAGAUGAGCCCAAGUGGGAUUAGGUAGUUGGUGGGGUAAAGGCCUACCAAGCCGACGAUCUCUAGCUGGUCUGAGAGGAUGACCAGCCACACUGGAACUGAGACACGGUCCAGACUCCUACGGGAGGCAGCAGUGGGGAAUAUUGCACAAUGGGGGGAACCCUGAUGCAGCCAUGCCGCGUGAAUGAAGAAGGCCUUCGGGUUGUAAAGUUCUUUCGGUGAUGAGGAAGGUGUUUGUUUUAAUAGAGCAAGCAAUUGACGUUAGUCACAGAAGAAGCACCGGCUAACUCCGUGCCAGCAGCCGCGGUAAUACGGAGGGUGCGAGCGUUAAUCGGAAUGACUGGGCGUAAAGGGCACGCAGGCGGUGACUUAAGUGAGAUGUGAAAGCCCCGAGCUUAACUUGGGAAUUGCAUUUCAUACUGGGUCGCUAGAGUACUUUAGGGAGGGGUAGAAUUCCACGUGUAGCGGUGAAAUGCGUAGAGAUGUGGAGGAAUACCGAAGGCGAAGGCAGCCCCUUGGGAAUGUACUGACGCUCAUGUGCGAAAGCGUGGGGAGCAAACAGGAUUAGAUACCCUGGUAGUCCACGCUGUAAACGCUGUCGAUUUGGGGAUUGGGCUUUAAGCUUGGUGCCCGUAGCUAACGUGAUAAAUCGACCGCCUGGGGAGUAC
rnacentral:rRNA from 1 species